rnacentral:miRNA from 1 species
ACCAAUUCUUAGGUUGGUGCAAAAGUAAUUGCAGUCUUUGUCAUUAAAAACAAUAACAAAAACCGCAAUUACUUUUGCACCGACCUAAAUAUUAUUU